rnacentral:rRNA from 1 species
GACGAACGCUGGCGGCGUGCCUAAUACAUGCAAGUCGAGCGCAGGAAGUCAUCCGAACCCUUCGGGGGGACGUUGACGGAAUGAGCGGCGGACGGGUGAGUAACACGUAAAGAACCUGCCCUCAGGUCUGGGAUAACCACGAGAAAUCGGGGCUAAUACCGGAUGGGUCAUCGGACCGCAUGGUCCGAGGAUGAAAGGCGCUCCGGCGUCGCCUGGGGAUGGCUUUGCGGUGCAUUAGCUAGUUGGUGGGGUAACGGCCCACCAAGGCGACGAUGCAUAGCCGACCUGAGAGGGUGAUCGGCCACACUGGGACUGAGACACGGCCCAGACUCCUACGGGAGGCAGCAGUAGGGAAUCUUCCACAAUGGACGAAAGUCUGAUGGAGCAACGCCGCGUGAACGAUGAAGGCCCUCGGGUCGUAAAGCUCUGUUGUAAGGGAAGAACAAGUGCCGCAGGCAAUGGCGGCACCUUGACGGUACCUUGCGAGAAAGCCACGGCUAACUACGUG